ACCUGCUGACUGAGGAUUUAAGAGAUUGGGUUUAUCAUGUGCUCCUGUUUUCCACUGCUUACAUACGUGUCCACCUUCUGUUUUCCAAAGCGAUACGUGUCUGAUGCUUUAUCUCUACGUGUUCAUUCAUAUUUUUUCUACAAUCCCCACCGCCCCACCGCCACCGAAAUAAGAUUUCCACUCUGUCGACUCCCCCUUUGACAUCAUUCUUCUAUAAGCCCUAAUUGAAGAUUUCAACAAACCACCGUUGCCGCACCAGGCAACGUUUUCGCCACUAUCGCCAUCGACAUCUUCUUCGUCUCCCUGUUGGAGACCAACGGGAUACCCUCUACCAAUCGUUAUCUUACACUAAUCCUUUUCUUCCACUGAACAACACCAAUGUUGUAAAUCAUCUCCACACCUUCGAUCUCUCCACCGCUUCUACCACUUACUGACCCAAUCUGAAAUUCAUCUUCCGCCAGGAUCUUGAGGUCUUACGCUUGCCUUCUUCUUUUCGCCUCUCUGUUAGGUUGCAUUUCCAUUUGAUUGUAACUAUCGCAGCAAGCAUAAGUGGUUGUCGACCAAAAAACGUACCAUUGGGCUCGAUUGGACCGACCAGGAUGGGGUUUCAACGACUUUGGGUCGAUGGAAGAAGAAAAGGAGUGGAAGCAUCGGGAGGCGGAGCUGUUGCUCCGAUAGGAAUGAAAGAAACACAAACGUUGACCUCUGCCUCUCAUUUCAUUUAUUGGAUGUGUUUGUCGAUUUCUUUCUUCUUAAUCCUUCAGGUUGGUUUUUUUUGGGCUUUAGUAUGCCUUCCAUGUGUUCGAUGAAAGUUCUAUUUGAACUUUAACUCAUACAACUGCUUAUCUUGAUUCAUUGUAACAAUUCCUUUUUUUUAUUACAUUUGGUUGUUUUACUUGCCAACGCUACCCUACAAGCAUCUCAUCCUACAUAUUGCUUCAACAUGUCCACCAGUUUCUCCUUUUGGUGCCAUUAUUCUUCAGGUAAGUCCUUCAUUUAGAAUAUGUACGUUAAUCUUCGUUAUUUUCUUUUGUGUUUUAAUUUUAAAUUCAUAUUUGGGUUUGAUUUCAAGGAUCAAAAGCUGCUACAACUAAUCGAGUAUAUGAAACUAUUAGUAAAUGCUAUUGAUGUUCUUUUUGUUUUUCUUUUUUCCCGAAUUGAGAUGUUUCUGCUGUGAUUUGAUCGAGGCACGAACAAUUCUAUCCUGUAUAUUAGAGUUACAAUCAUUGUCAGGAGUAAUUGAUAUGUAGCUGUCAAGGUACCUAUCGACUACUCUACCCAGCAGUGGAGCCAUAGAUUAUGGUGAGUUUCUUGCUGCAACUCUUCACCCUAACAACCUGGAGAGAGGGGAGAAUUUGUUUUCUGCUUUUGCAUUCUUUGAUAACGAUGGAAGUGGAUACAAUGAUCCAAGAAAUGGAUCAAGAUAAUGAUUGACAAAUUGAUUUUGGGGAAUUUGCUGCGACGAUGAGGAAGGGUAAUGGUGGAAUUGGGAGAAGAACCAUGAGAGGUAACCUUAAUUUAAACUUAAUGUGAACUUGUAGGUGGCGUGUCACCCAAAAGUCAACUGCAAACUAAAGUCAACAGCAGUGAAAAAACUGACAUUACUAUUGUUAUUAUUAUUAUUUCUUUGUUUUUAAACGAAAUGGGGUUAACAUUGAACUGGGAUAUAUAUACAUAUAAAUAUAUUUGACUUGGUCUUUGUUUAUGGGCUAUGGUGACUUGGUUACUUGCUACAUUCAAAAUUGAAAGUCAAUCCAAAAAUGUGAAGCUUAGAUUUGAGCCUAAGGGCUUACAAUAAGUAACAACGACAGAGUCUUCUCUGCUAAUUAAGCGGACUAUUUUUUGUCUUGGAGCCCUUACAGUGACAUGACAAAUUAUCAAGAUAGGUUCUUAAAGUGGCAAUCAAAAUAUGAGACGUUGUUUAGUUCCAUCAAAACAUAAUUUAAAACGGAUAUUUUAGUUUUCAAUGGAGUAUUAUAAAAUGAAUGAUUGGAAAAAAUCCCUUCUACCAUGAUGUGUUUUUGGUAAAUGAAUCUUUAUUUAUUUAUUUAUUCAUAAUUGGUUCGUUUUCAGCUAUUUUAUGGUUACUACCAUCAUUUUGUCCGUUCGUAUCAUGGUAAGGGCUAUGUUGUAAUUCAUAUGGAUUGGAAUAUUUGCAGAUAGAAACCAAAAAAUGUGAUUUUUAAAAAGAUCCAAAUUUCAUGUGUCAAUAAUGAUGAUCAUAAUUUUGAAAAGGUUUUUCAUAUUUUUAACAAGUUGUCAUGUUUAAUCUUUUUGGUAUAUUGGU